AAGUCGAGCGAACAGACGAGGAGCUUGCUCCUCUGACGUUAGCGGCGGACGGGUGGGUAACACGUGGAUAACCUACCUAUAAGACUGGGAUAACUUCGGGAAACCGGAGCUAAUACCGGAUAAUAUAUUGAACCGCAUGGUUCAAUAGUGAAAGACGGUUUUGCUGUCACUUAUAGAUGGAUCCGCGCCGCAUUAGCUAGUUGGUAAGGUAACGGCUUACCAAGGCAACGAUGCGUAGCCGACCUGAGAGGGUGGUCGGCCACACUGGAACUGAGACACGGUCCAGACUCCUACGGGAGGCAGCAGUAGGGAAUCUUCCGCAAUGGGCGAAAGCCUGACGGAGCAACGCCGCGUGAGUGAUGAAGGUCUUCGGAUCGUAAAACUCUGUUAUCAGGGAAGAACAAAUGUGUAAGUAACUGUGCACAUCUUGACGGUACCUGAUCAGAAAGCCACGGCUAACUACGUGCCAGCAGCCGCGGUAAUACGUAGGUGGCAAGCGUUAUCCGGAAUUAUUGGGCGUAAAGCGCGCGUAGGCGGUUUUUUAAGUCUGAUGUGAAAGCCCACGGCUCAACCGUGGAGGGUCAUUGGAAACUGGAAAACUUGAGUGCAGAAGAGGAAAGUGGAAUUCCAUGUGUAGCGGUGAAAUGCGCAGAGAUAUGGAGGAACACCAGUGGCGAAGGCGACUUUCUGGUCUGUAAC
rnacentral:rRNA from 1 species